rnacentral:lncRNA from 1 species
CCCCACCCCAUAAAGCACAGGUGGCACUGAGGGGGCACUGCUGCUCUCCCUUAUUUAUAGCCAUGCAGGGGGUGGGUCUUUGCAGUGCUCUCUUUGGGUGUAGAGUUCACUGGUGAUUGUGAGUGCAACUGUAGAAAGGGUUCCGCAUGAAGGCAGAGUGGAAAACCCUAACAAAGAACUGGAUAGGAGCUGCUCUGCUGAGAAACCUGGCGAGGUGUUGCAAGACUGAGCGCAAGGAGUGCAGAACACAGUAGUUUGCUACAACUCUCCUCAAUGAUAGAGGCUUCAGUUAUGAAUGCUGUACCACGGAGGAAGGCUUUGACACUUGUGCUGCUACUUUAGCUUUGGAGACUUCUGACACAGCCCAAUUUCCUGAGCAGAGACCUGUUUGCGGGGCCUUGGCAGGGUUUGAAAGGCGUUGCUUCUGCUCCUGUGUUGUGGGAUCAGCCUGGAUUUCAGGAGGAUGCAGUAGGCCGCAUGCUUUCCUGGAGAAACAAUGACAGCUACCACAUUUCCUUGAGCAUGCAAGUCUGAUGGCACUCCAGUACUUACCCCAAGAUGAGUGAUGAUUGUACUAAUUAAGAACUGAAGUGAAAGAAUAUGAAAGGGAUGCAGUGUGGGGUGACUUCUAAUAAAACUGAACUACUUUGUUAGCAGUUGAUGCUGCUUUUCUCACAUAGCAGCUGUUAUUUUCCUUGUAAAACAUAGGACGUUGUUCCCAAACCAGCCCUGGUGCUGGGAGGAGCACUUGCAGUUAAGGUUUGCUCUGCACUGCAUUUUACUCUAUGCAUCUUGCAGAAGUAGAAGCUUGGGCUUUCUAGACUCCUGUCUGCUGUUCCUCUGUGGUUUGCUGUGUGCUUUUGAAUCUGAUAACCUUUUCAUAGUUGAUUUUACUGGGCUUCAGACUGCACUGUUACAGCAUCUUAUGCACAUGCAUGUAAAGAAGUGGAGGAACAGCAGCUGCACACAACAGCUGCUUGGAUCCCUGCUCUCUGCAGACUGGCACUGAGUGACCACACUUUCCCUGCACUCUGUUGUCAGAUUAACUGUAUGGAUCUUCCACUCUUGUUUGGGAGGGAAAGGAAAGCUUACCGACAGGAAUACAUGAGCCUUAUUGCAGCUGGAUGGUUGACAGCAGUGUUCUAGAAUGGCAGUGCUGCAGUCUAUCUUGCAGUGGUGACACCUUUUAUUUACUCAAAGAAACUUUUUAUUCACCUCUGCAACUGAGCUACAGCUAUGCUGUUACACCCCAGGUGUGCUUUGCUCAUAUUUACUUAACUCAUCAUUAACCCAUCUACUGAAUAAACCCUGGGGCUGGUUUGAACAUUGAGCACCAUGCUACUCACCUCCUUCCUCUACUAGGAGUUGAAUGGAGGUGUUUAUUAGUCCUGUCUUGCUCAUCCUCCUAUAAGUAACUCAUUCUGAAGAGCUUCCUCAGGGCUGGUUUUGGAGCUGCAUCACUUAUUCUUUUGCCAGUUUCCUAUGCAAAUUUGCAGUAUUUUUAGGAAGUCCAAGCUGAAAUGGUUCCCCCAGGUUUGUCAACAGAUCAGUAAUUGCUUUGGGGGAGGGUUGCUAUUCACAGGGCCAGAAAACAUUCCUCUGUUUUAAGUGAAGGAAUAUAAAAUUAACGAGGCUGCACCCACUGGGAUAGCGACAUGCCUGUUUGUUUUAUUAACAGCAGACACAGUUUUAUUAGAAAAAAACAAAGUGGAAAAGGAUCUACUGGGACAAACACACAAGCGUGACUGGAACAAGGUCAAAUCUCUUAUUAUUCUGGUCUGAUCACACCAGAGCUGAAAGUGAGCCGUGCUGUUGGGAUUCACACCUGAUCCGUGGGUUAGUCUGGUGUUCAGCACUCUCUUGAUCCUAUCCCAGCUUAUCACCAGUGUUUAUUUUGUUCCACUGGGUCAUCCUAUACUAACAUUUGGCUGCAGUUGUCUGGCUGUUAAAACCCUGGUGCUUGCUGGCAGGGACUGCCUACUGUGAUUCUUCUCUUAAACAAGAGGCCAUGAAGGACUGAGGCCCUUGAAACUUUCUCAGGGAGAAGCCAAGCAAUUCUUUCAGACCAUGAUAUCCAGACAGAAGAAUUUUGCCUCCUUUAUGGUGAAAUAGUAGGAUCUCCCUGUACUGCUUUUCCAGAACACUUUCUGUGUAGCUGGCAGGCAUUGCAUUAACCCACAGUAGAGCUGCAGCCAACCCUGCCUUCAUGACUGUGUGCACAUUCUUUUCUCCCUUUGGAAAGCUCUCUCCACGUUUGCAGUGCUUCCUCGGGCCAGUUUCAGUGGUAGGUUGGUGGGUAGCUCAGCACUGGUCCCAUUACUCUGCUUUCAUUGUCUGAAGUUGGGUUUGAUACAGUGAGCUAACAAAGCAGUAGCACCAGGUCAACAUCAGUGAUUACGCUUUUAUUGUCUUAGCAGCAAACAAAAUAUACCUGUUAACCAAUCCCCCCAUGUGCUUCCCAGUCCCUAUUUAAUAUUGCAGUAGAGAAAACUUCAGAAGGUGAGGUCAGCUCUUCUGGGUGGUUUUGGAUCUCCUUUUUGAUACCAAAUCUGCAGUGAUGUUAAUCCACCUCUGGAGGUGGAAGGCAGCAAGAGGUGUCCUUGCUGCUGGGCACCAUAGGAAGCAAAGAGUUGUGGGCAGUGGGAUUAAAAGGGCCUUUAGCCUUCCCAGCCCCCUCUUGCUAAGGGCAGUGCAAACAAAUGUGAGGUUUUGAGCACUGUCUCACCAGAAUAAAGUUUUUGUUAAUUGUGAUGUGAUUAUGUAAUUGAGCAAAUGAUGCCCAAAGUCUCUUAGAGUGCAGCUAUCUAAGAAGGCCCCCAACAGACUCACAUCUGGUGAUGAAGCAGGCUUGAUGAAGUUUUGCAAGCCCUGUGAUGAUGUCCAGGAGCAGCACUGAGCUGUUUCAUAACUGUCUGCAUGCCAGAGAAAAUGGAAAGCCAUGUGAGAGUAAAGCAAGGGAAGGGGG